UCUAUUAUGGCAGAUUAGUGCAUUGAAUUUAAGAUUCAAAAAAGAAAGUUAUUUCUUUUAGAA
rnacentral:tRNA from 1 species